CUAAGAUAUUGGAAGGAAACAAAAAGGUUAGGGUGACAUGUUCAUGGUUCGAAACACAGUGACAUGAUGUUUGUGACCAAGCGCGAUGCCAGGUAACUCUACCGUUGUGGGCCUCCUCAUAAAGCAAGAAUAGUUUGCUCCAAGUUUGACCAUAAACUUCACAUUAGAAGCGAUGGUCCUGUCGAUGCACUAUGCAUAUUCAUAUUUGUUUAUACAUAAGCUUCUCUGCUGAAUUGUAAUCGGCGCUCUUAGCAUUCGAAGAAAAC
rnacentral:lncRNA from 1 species